rnacentral:snRNA from 1 species
GUGCUUACUUCGGCAGCACAUAUACUAAAAUUGGAAUGAUACAGAGAAGGUUAGCAUGGCCCCCGUGCAAGAAUAACAUGCAAAUUUAUGAAGCAUUUCAUAUUUUA